CCUGCCAUCUGGACAGCAAUGAAGAUGCAUUCCUACAGCAACGUGGGCAUAAUUAAGGUGCAAGAAGGUGGAGGGAGGAGCUGCCUAUUUCAUAGCUGAG